GGAGGGUAUAGCUCAGUGGUAGAGUGUUAGCUUUGCAUGCGUGAGGUCCUGGGUUCAAUCCCCAGUACCUCCA